GAUGAACGCUGGCGGCGUGCCUAAUACAUGCAAGUCGAGCGAACGGACGAGAAGCUUGCUUCUCUGAUGUUAGCGGCGGACGGGUGAGUAACACGUGUAUAACCUACCUAUAAGACUGUGAUAACUUCGGGAAACCGUAGCUAAUACCGGAUAAUAUUUUGAACCGCAUUGUUCAAAAGUGAAAGACGGUCUUGCUGUCACUUAUAGAUGGAUCCGCGCUGCAUUAGCUAGUUGGUAAGGUAACGGCUUACCAAGGCAACGAUGCAUAGCCGACCUGAGAGGGUGAUCGGCCACACUGGAACUGAGACACGGUCCAGACUCCUACGGGAGGCAGCAGUAGGGAAUCUUCCGCAAUGGGCGAAAGCCUGACGGAGCAACGCCGCGUGAGUGAUGAAGGUCUUCGGAUCGGAAAACUCUGUUAUUAGGGAAGAACAUAUGUGUAAGUAACUGUGCACAUCUUGACGGUACCUAAUCAGAAAGCCACGGCUAACUACGUG
rnacentral:rRNA from 1 species